GUGGGGAAUCUUGCACAAUGGGCGAAAGCCUGAUGCAGCCAUGCCGCGUGAAUGAUGAAGGCCUUAGGGUUGUAAAAUUCAUUCGUCAGGGAUGAUAAUGACCGUACCUGAAGAAGAAGCCCCGGCUAACUUCGUGCCAGCAGCCGCGGUAAUACGAAGGGGGCUAGCGUUGUUCGGAAUUACUGGGCGUAAAGCGCACGUAGGCGGACUUUUAAGUCAGGUGUGAAAUCCCGGGGCUCAACCUCGGAACUGCAUUUGAAACUGGAAGUCUUGAGAUCAGGAGAGGUUAGCGGAAUACCGAGUGUAGAGGUGAAAUUCGUAGAUAUUCGGUGGAACACCAGUGGCGAAGGCGGCUAACUGGACUGAUACUGACGCUGAGGUGCGAAAGUGUGGGGAGCAAACAGGAUUAGAAACCCCUGUAGUCC
rnacentral:rRNA from 1 species